UACGGAGGGUGCAAGCAUUAAUCGGAUUUAUUGGGCGUAAAGGGCGCGUAGGCGGGGAGAAAAGUCAGAUGUGAAAUCCCGGGGCUCAACCUCGGAACUGCAUUUGAAACUGUCUCUCUAGAGGGUAGGCGGAGAAAACGGAAUUCCACAAGUAGCGGUGAAAUGCGUAGAUAUGUGGAAGAACACCGGUGGCGAAGGCGGUUUUCUAGCUUAAACCUGACGCUGAGGCGCGAAAGCAAGGGGAUCAAACAGG
rnacentral:rRNA from 1 species